rnacentral:snRNA from 1 species
GUGCUUGCUUCGGCAGCACAUAUACUAAAAUUGGAACGAUACGGAGAAGAUUAGCAUGGCCCCUGCACAAAGAUGACACGCAAAUUCAUGAAGUGUUCCAUAUUUAA